rnacentral:rRNA from 1 species
GUAGGUGGCAAGCGCUGUCCGGAAUUAUUGGGCGUAAAGCGCGCGCAGGCGGUCCUUUAAGUCUGAUGUGAAAGCCCACGGCUCAACCGUGGAGGGUCAUUGGAAACUGGGGGACUUGAGUACAGAAGAGGAAAGCGGAAUUCCAAGUGUAGCGGUGAAAUGCGUAGAGAUUUGGAGGAACACCAGUGGCGAAGGCGGCUUUCUGGUCUGUAACUGACGCUGAGGCGCGAAAGCGUGGGGAGCAAACAGGGAUUAGAUACCCUGGUAGUCCACGCCGUAAACGAUGAGUGCUAAGUGUUAGGGGGGUUUCCGCCCCCUUAGUGCUGCAGCUAACGCAUUAAGCACUCCGCCUGGGGAUACGGCCGCAAGGCUG